rnacentral:ncRNA from 1 species
CUGGUUGAUCCUCUAAUGGCAAAUGCUCUUCUCAAAGAUUGAGCCUAGUUAGCUCAUCUAGCAAUGCAGAGAUGGGUAUAGUGAAAUGGAAAAUAGCUCAUUAAAUCAAUUUUGCUUUCUUUGAAAUCACUCGAAUUGGAAACUGUGGAAAUUCUACAGCUAAUACAUGCAAACCAGCAGUGACCUCUGGAGACAUGUGCAUUUAUCAGUCCCAAACCCCACGCAGGUGCUGUCCACUCUUGAGCCUGCAUUGGUGACUCAAGAUAACCUUGAGACAAUCUCUGGCUGUCUGGGGGCAGUGAUGUCUCAUUCAGGCGAAUACUACUAGACACCUCUGAGGCCCUGUAAUGGGAAUGAUUACACACUGUAACUUUUAAUGAGGAUCCAUUGGAGUACAAGUCUGGUGAAAGCAACCUCGGUAAUUCCAGCACCAGUAGUGUAUCUA